rnacentral:rRNA from 1 species
GAUCAUGGCUCAGGAUGAACGCUAGCUACAGGCUUAACACAUGCAAGUCGAGGGGCAGCAGGACGAUAGCUUGCUAUUGUUGCUGGCGACCGGCGCACGGGUGAGUAACGCGUAUCCAACCUUCCCCUUAGUAGGGCAUAGCCCGGUGAAAAUCGGAUUAAUACCCUAUGUUGUGUCAUGAGGACAUCUGAAUAACACUAAAGAUUUAUCGCUAAGGGAUGGGGAUGCGUCCGAUUAGGUAGUCGGCGGGGUAACGGCCCACCGAGCCCUCGAUCGGUAGGGGUUCUGAGAGGAAGGUCCCCCACACUGGUACUGAGACACGGACCAGACUCCUACGGGAGGCAGCAGUGAGGAAUAUUGGUCAAUGGGCGCGAGCCUGAACCAGCCAAGUAAGCGUGCAGGAUGACGGCCCUAUGGGUUGUAAACUGCUUUUAUACGGGGAUAAAGUGAGGGACGUGUCCCUUAUUGUAGGUACCGUAUGAAUAAGGACCGGCUAAUUCCGUGCCAGCCGCAGC